CCGACCUUAGCUCAGUUGGAAGAGCAUUGGACUGUAAAUCCAGGGGUCCCUGGUUCGAUCCCGGGAGGUCGGA